GAUGAACGCUGGCGGCGUGCCUAAUACAUGCAAGUCGAGCGAACAGACGAGAGUGCUUGCACUCUCUGACGUUAGCGGCGGACGGGUGAGUAACACGUGGGUAACCUACCUAUAAGACUGGGAUAACUUCGGGAAACCGGAGCUAAUACCGGAUAAUAUUUAGCUUCGCAUGAAGCAAUAGUGAAAGACGGUUCUGCUGUCACUUAUAGAUGGACCCGCGGUGUAUUAGCUGGUUGGUGAGGUAACGGCUCACCAAGGCAACGAUACAUAGCCGACCUGAGAGGGUGAUCGGCCACACUGGGACUGAGACACGGCCCAGACUCCUACGGGAGGCAGCAGUAGGGAAUCUGCCGCAACGGACGAAAGUCUGACGGAGCAAUGCCGCGUGAGUGAAGAAGGUUUUCGGAUCGUAAAACUCUGUUGUAAGGGAAGAACAAGUACGUUAGUAACUGAACGUACCUUGACGGUACCUGACCAGAAAGCCACGGCUAACUACGUG
rnacentral:rRNA from 1 species